UACGGAGGGUGCAAGCGUUAUCCGGAAUCACUGGGUUUAAAGGGUGCGUAGGCGGGCUAUUAAGUCAGUGGUGAAAGCUCCCGGCCCAACCGGGAAAUUGCCAUUGAUACUGGUAGCCUUGAGUGCGGUUGAGGUGGGCGGAAUACAGCAUGUAGCGGUGAAAUGCUUAGAUAUGCUGUAGAACACCGAUUGCGAAGGCAGCUCACUAAACCGAUACUGACGCUGAGGCACGAAAGCGUGGGGAUCGAACAGG
rnacentral:rRNA from 1 species